rfam:Pteropus vampyrus clone CH279-215A8, complete sequence.
AAAGGACCUGUAUGAACACAAGAUGACAAAGAAGUGGGAGGAAAAUUAAACUCAUGCCAGCAGUUCAUCUUUGCCUAA